GUAUUAUGAAUGUGAGUAGCUUUUAUUAUUUCGAUGCUUAAAAUUAUCUUGUACCAGUAGACGUAGCUGCUCUUGCUUUUUAUACUAUUUUUAACAUUGAAAAUGAUCUAUUUGCAUUCACAGAAUACGUGAAUGGAACGUUUCAACAUAAUAUUAAUCUCUAAUAUUUCUCGCUUUUCUGAUUAAAAUGUUAUUGUAUGGAAUUUAAGUUUUCAAAUUUAUAAAUAUUCCUAUUGAAUAUAUGUAUAUUUUUUAUAAUAUUUAAUUCAUCACGUUAUCUUGAAUUUAUAUUACUUGUCUGGCCGUACCAGAAAAUAAUUUUCAUAUUAUAUUUUAUUUCACAUUAUUUUCAAAUCGUACCAAAUUAGUACCUAUUUAUUAUUUUCUUGAAAAAAUCUGCAUAUACACCAUAGUAUUCAUUUUUAUAACAUAUUUUGGGAGUGGGGUUACAGGGAAAGCUAUUCCACUUCAAUUCUUUUUAUAUUUUGUGAGCGUCCCUAAAAAUUAUUUUCAUUAGAUCGGGGCAACGGAACGUGUUAUUUUAUUAAAAUAAUAGUAAAAUUUUAAUUUAUAUAUUUUGUUUGGAUUUUUUUUUUAAACAUUAGCAGUCUCGCGCGACCAAUAGUAAUAAAUAUUAACUGAUCGAAGAUAAUAAAAUAAUAUUAGCUGUAUAAUCGAGUAGCUUAUUUUUAAUUUGCGUUUUUAUUUACAGUACAACAGGGAACUAGAACAAAUUUUAGGAAAUGAAAAUCAUGCAGAGUCCGAUUACUGGGUCAUAUCGGAAGAAUAUAUAAGGAAAGAAUACUCGAACGGGUAUCGCGUGCAAGAAUAGAGGAAACCAGCACACAAGGACGUCCAAGAAGUAGAUUCAUAGACGAAGUUAAGAAAGAUCUACAACAUAUGGAAAUACGGAACUGGAACUGGAGGAAUGUCGUCAAAGACCGCGAUGAGUAACGGAGGAUUGUGUUGGAAGCCAAGGGGUAUCAUGUAGAGCUUAUGAGAAAAAGAAGAAGUACAACAGGUGGUCUAACUGUAGAAAAAUAUACUAUGUUAAAUGUUAUCCCGUAAAAUGUGUCUAAAAUACAAUAAUUAAUUCGUCUAUACUGAAUAAAUGAUUUAAUAUUCGGAUAUUAAUUUCGCUCAGUUCAACUACACUGACACAGAUCUUAUCAUUUUGGCCGAACGUUAUUCUCAUACUCAACUCUCCUCGCAGUCAUCGCGAUACCGCAGUAUGAAUUAAAAUACGGAUUGAAUAAAUUGGAUUUUUUUUUUCAAAUAUACGGA